rnacentral:SRP_RNA from 1 species
GCCAGGCGUGGUGGCGGACGCCUGUAGUUCCAGCUACUCAGGAGGCUGAGAUGGGAGAAUUGCUUGAACCCAGGAGGUGGAGGUUGCAGUGAGCUGAGAUCACGCCACUGCACUCCAGCCUGGGUGAUAGAGCGAGACUCCGUCUCAA